GUCUUGGCACUUCGUCUUUUAAUUUAGCAAACAAGUCUCCAAAUGUUAGAAAAGUAUAUAUUUUCUGCUUUACUUAGUUUUAUUUUAAAUAGUUAUUACCUAAUAAAUUAUGAACAUUAAGCCCAUAAUGAGAAGGCCCAUAUUUCCCAGGAAAAAUUCUGAGGAGCACUUGAAUAAGUUUUUGGUAAUCCUGCUUGAAGGGGGCACUGCUCUCACCAGCCAUCUUAUUAACUUCAUCUAAAUGCACAGAGAAAAUUGUGACUCAAAACAGGCAACUAGAUAAGGCAGAACAUUAAAGUAAAAUAAAAAUGAAUACCUGCACAAAUAAUUUUUCUUGCUACUAAGUUUUGUGCAGAGUGUUCAAUAGAUUGUCCCUUUGCAAAACCUCCCAUGAUCCUAUCUCAUGAGCAGGUGACAAAUGUAUUAAUUGAUGCCCAGCUGUCAUCACACUUAACAAUUGCCCCAGGGGGCAUCCUUGCAUCUGUUGCAGAUUUAGGGUUAUUUUGGUAUUACUGGAGUUAGACUUAUUUAAGCAGCUGCACACCUAUCUGUAUUUGGAUCCAUAAUGUCAUAAACAGAAAAAGAGGGUACGAGUAGUAGGAUAUCAGAUUGACUGGCUCUGGCUGACCUGAAGCCACAUGGGAGGCCAUGUCUGGCUGUGCCCUGGGACCAUCCUAAGUGCCUAGUUUCAGGAAGCCAUUAUUAGUAGGAGAGUACAGCUGGGGUAAACUGUGGGAAAGCACUAAAAACGUGCACUUGGGGCCAGUUCCCCUGUGAGUGAAGGCUAAAGAAAGAUUCUGAAAAUAAUUGUCAUGCAAGAUGAAGAAAUUCAAGAUAUGUUUCCAUGUCCUUAGUGGAAAGCAAAUUCAUUUCAUUGGUCUAGAAAAGGGAAUGGACAAAGGGGAUAAACAUUUAAUCUAUCAAAAGAGUCUGUUUUGGUCUGCACCUAAUUGAUAGAGAGCAUUCAAUUCUAUCAAUAUGAUCCUGUAUAAUAGGCAUUAACUCCACUUUAUAGAUGUGAACAUGGAGGCUUAUAGAGGUUACGUAGUGUGCCUUUCACUGAGACUUGAAUCUAAGUCUUUCUAACCCAAGAGCUUUGGUCUUUUACCAUUAUACUACGCUGUUCUCCAGUUGCCAAAUAAGUAUCCAGAUCUUCUCAAAAAAGAAGCUCAGUUGUCAAUUUUUCGGCUUAUUUCCUACGUGAGAAGCAAAGGGGCACCUGCGAAAGUGCGUAUUUCCAUAUAUGAAAACUGGCACUUGGCAUGCAAUUCUUUACUUUACAUGUGUACUGGGGUAGGAUUACAUUUUUACUGAUACACCCUGGCUUUGGUAGGCUGCUAACAAUGUGCCCUUUAUGUAGAAUUUCCUGGGAGCAGAGCCCUAAGUUCUGGUUCCUAACCCGAAAUAAGCCAUGUCAAUGAGAAGCUGCAAUGAUUUAUAACCUCCAAAAAAAAUUAUAGAAAUGAUCAAUAUUUUGUCUCUGUUUGCCAAGUAGAAUGUUGCCUGUUUUUGUGACCAACUAAGAAAACUCAGAGAAAGGACUUUCAAGUACACAGCCAGUCAUCACAGGUCUAUCUCAUAAUGAACAGAAGAGGAAAAGUGUUUAGAUAGGAUUUACAGGGAGGAAAACACCAAGUAGAACAAUCUCAGUUUUGUUAUUAGUGACUGAUGCUGACAACAUUAAACCAUAGCUAAGAAUCAAUUUUGUAUAUAAAUUUAAUACACUGAUUUCUUAAAACAAACAAAAGAUUGACCCAAUAUAUUUAAGAACAUUUAAACACUUCUUCUCUUUGAAAGACACUGUUAAGAGAAUAAAACAGUAAGCCACAAAAAAAAAAAAAAAAAAAA
ensembl:lncRNA